rnacentral:rRNA from 1 species
UACGUAGGUGGCAAGCGUUGUCCGGAAUUAUUGGGCGUAAAGCGCGCGCAGGCGGUCCUUUAAGUCUGAUGUGAAAGCCCACGGCUCAACCGUGGAGGGUCAUUGGAAACUGGGGGACUUGAGUGCAGGAGAGAAAAGUGGAAUUCUACGUGUAGCGGUGAAAUGCGUAGAGAUGUGGAGGAACACCAGUGGCGAAGGCGACUUUUUGGCCUGUAACUGACGCUGAGGCGCGAAAGCGUGGGGAGCAAACAGG